GAUUAACGCUGGCGGCGUGCCUAACACAUGCAAGUCGAGCGGCAGCGAGUUUUACACUGAAUUCUGGAAGCUUCUAGUUGAAAGAGAAGAUUUAUUCAAGAAUUUUGUGUAAAAUGUCGGCGAGCGGCGGACGGCUGAGUAACGCGUGGGAACGUACCCCAAAGUGAGGGAUAACGCAUCGAAAGGUGUGCUAAUACCGCAUAUGGUCUUCGGAUUAAAGCCUUCGGGCGCUUUGGGAACGGCCUGCGUAAGAUUAGAUAGUUGGUGGGGUAAUGGCCUACCAAGUCGACGAUCUAUAACUGGUUUGAGAGGAUGAUCAGUCAGACUGGAACUGAGACACGGUCCAGACUCCUACGGGAGGCAGCAGUGAGGAAUCUUCCACAAUGGGCGAAAGCCUGAUGGAGCAACGCCGCGUGCAGGAUGAAGGCCUUCGGGUUGUAAACUGCUUUUAUAAGUGAGGAUUAUGACAGUAACUUAUGAAUAAGGAUCGGCUAACUACGUG
rnacentral:rRNA from 1 species